UACGUAGGGCGCAAGCGUUAUCCGGAAUUAUUGGGCGUAAAGAGCUCGUAGGCGGUUUGUCGCGUCGGCCGUGAAAACUUGGGGCUUAACCCCAAGCCUGCGGUCGAUACGGGCAGACUUGAGUUCGGCAGGGGAGACUGGAAUUCCUGGUGUAGCGGUGAAAUGCGCAGAUAUCAGGAGGAACACCGGUGGCGAAGGCGGGUCUCUGGGCCGAUACUGACGCUGAGGAGCGAAAGCGUGGGGAGCGAACAGG
rnacentral:rRNA from 1 species